CAGCAGAGGAGCGGUCCCCUGGCACCCCGGACGUCUCCUGCCUUUCCUGGCCCCCAUGGGCCCCCCUCUUGGGGCUCGCGCCCACCACCACCAACACCCAGAGCCACAGCUGGCCCCGGAGAACACUCUCUCGCCGAGUACUGUCGCCUCCACGGCCCUCACAGGCAACUUACUCUGCCCAGCUUCCCCCCUCAGGGACUGAGGGCGCCUCUCUGCCCAGAGACGCCGCCGGCCAUGGAGGCCAGGGAAGGACGCCCACAUGAGGCGAGGGCGGUUAGGUCCUAAACAGGGCAAGAAUAUUGGAAUGGGUUGCCGUUUCCUCCUCCAAGGGAUCUUCCCAACCCAGUAAUAGAACCUGUGUCCCCUGUCUCCUGCUUGGCAGGUGGAUCAUUACCACCUGGAAAGCCACCUGGGAAUCCUUUAGUAUGAGCUUGCCAGGCUUCCCUGUCCGUCACCACCUCCUGGAGCGUGCUCAAGUUCAUGUCCAUCGAGUCGGUGAUGGCAGUGGCACUGCAUAACCUCUAUCUGCCAGGAAUGCUUCGAGCUCCAUUCGAUCUGCUGACCUGUGGCACUUAAGUGGCAGAGCAGUUGCAGCUGGUGCCCCUGGGCUCCCAGUCUGCUGCAGUCUUCCUGUCUGACUGCUGCCUGUAGACAUUAAACUUCAGCUCAGUGUUGAAUAUUCUCUGACUCUUAAUGAAUAUUGCUUGUAC
ensembl:lncRNA